ensembl:lncRNA
AUGGCAGGUAUCUCUGGCAUAUUUUUACUCUGCGUAGCCUCUCUCUUCGGUGGGGCCAAAGGCGCGCCUGAUGUGUGCCGCGGGACACGCUGCUUCUCUGGACAGGAAUGGAGACCGUGCGUCGGAGCGCAGUGCCACGGGCGCACGGAGGCAGCCGUGUCCCGGCGACAGUUUCCCAGCUCUGCACAAUCCAGACAAGGACAAGUCUACCCGAGUUACCAACACGACGCUCAUUUCAGUCACCACCAAGCUCAAAGCGCGCCGCUGGCGCCGUACACCGUCAUCCAACCGCAGCAGGGAGGCUAUGUGCAAACCGCGGGAAAUAACGGCAACAGGAGGACGAAUGCGAGAACCAUCACGGCGGAGGUGUUCCACCCUGGCUGCGCCGGGGGGACCUGCCCGACCACCGUGGCUCAACGCCCGACAAGUGAUGACGGCGCAACGCGCGAGUGCAAAGGGAUCGGAUGUAAGCUGCCUCCUCGGAUGCGCCAGAAGCCGAAGCCGUGCGUCGGAGACGGUUGCGGCGCGCAUGCAGGAGACGACGGGAGGGGACCCUCUUCACCUGUGCACGUGACCGACACAGCGGCGCAAUUUCUGGAUGAGUUUCCAGACUUGGCGUCGGAACGUGGCGCCUGGAUACAGUUGACAUGUGACAUGAAACCAGGGACGAAUGACCUCCCUUCGGAGGACGCGCUUGUGCUGCAGCUGCAGUUGUCUAAGAGCCAGGAGAAGCUGGUUGAGGCCCUCAGGGGCCAGCAGGACGAGGUCCAGGAGCUGCAGAGGCUCCUCGGUGAGCAGCAGGGGACGCUGGUGAGCCAGCAGAGAGAGAUACUGGAACAACAGAGGAAGAUGUAUGACCAGAUGGAGCAAGUCAAAGCCCAGUACAUCACAAUGAUGGACAGCCUCAAACAAACAUCACUCCAGAACCUCCAGGGGGGGCUAGACCGUCACAUGGAGACCGCGAGUGGGCAGGUUAGAGCUCACCAAGCACAGCAGGCUCUCUCGCUGCACAAGGUGGACAUGGAGGCCAGCGUGAUGGAGGUGGGGCGCUCCCUGUUGGCUUGUGGGAGCUGCGGCCCUGAGGAGUACUGUGGCUUCAGCAGCGGUCAUCCUCGCUGUGAGAAAUGUACCGUGUGUCCUGCCGGCUUCUUCCUUGUCGCCCAGUGUUCAGUCCACGCAGACAGGAUCUGCCAGGACAGAGAUGAAUGCCUUGAAAUAGCUGAUUCGUGCAGAGACCAACAGAAGUGUCUCAAUACUCCAGGUGGAUUCAGGUGCCAGGGCAUGACAGAGCGUGAAGCCAAUUCAGGAAUGUGUGGCCACGGCUACUUCUACGUCUUGGACAUGGACGAGUGUCAGGCCUGUAAUGAGUGUGAUGGCGAGCCCGUGGCUUCACCUUGUACCUUUACCAAAGAUACCAUCUGCUCUGGCCAUGCUGCUGCUGGUGGUGAAAGCGCCCUUUCUUUGUCCUGGUCCGGAGAUGUGAGGCUGUCCGGCACCAAAGGCCAAAUCCUGGCUCACGCCUUUCCUGGCGUGCAGCUUCGCAUCCAGGGCAGAGGCGACGCAGGUCUGCUGUCCGCUGAGGACGGCCGCCUGACGCUCAGGCAGCACGGCCUGGUCUGGCUGGAUGAGAAUCUGUCUGUGAGCCACGGCUGCCGGAGCUUCAUCCAGUUGUGUCUCCGUAUCAACAACACGGACGGCUCGGAAGGCCGCGACCUCAGCGGCCUAAGGGUCGAGCAGCAGGAGGGAAGGUCGCUCCAGAGCGUCAGCAUCAGCGGCGUGGCAGAAGUCGCCCCGGGGAACACGAUUUCCCUCUUCCUCCGGAGCGCCAGCCGGCACUGUAACGAAAGCAGCGAAGGCCUGCAGCUGUACGACCCUUUAGCAGCUCCGCUCAGCCUCUUCUGGCUCUCCCACGACACGGGGGCCGUCGCCAUGACAGCACAGGCUAUUGUGUCCGCGCACUACCACACAAACUAUCGGCCGGUCUUCCGCACCUCCUCCACCUCUGACCCGUACGUAGUGGGCCUGACCCACGAUGGCCGCGGGAUCCGCUUUGCCGAAAGCGGUACCGUGCGCUUUAUGUUCCAGCAGGCGCUGUACUCAAUGGGCCAGGCCUGCGUGAGCGAGGGCUUCCAAACGUUGGCGUACCUCAACCACAACGGAACGGGCGCCGAGCUGUGUCGCACCUUCAAACCCGGCGUCCACUAUCGGGACACCUCCCUGUCUUUGUCGGGGGCGGCAAGAGUCGAGCCCGGGGACACGCUGGGCUUCGAGAUCCUCUCUCCCGCCCAGUGCAACGUCAGAUUCUUUGGCGACGAGACGGGCAUCAGCAUCCUCAGCUUGGUUUGGGUCCCCGCCGCUCUCUCCUCCUCCCUGUCUGCCUCCGUGUCUGACGCCGGCCUUCCCUCGGGAGCAGUUCGAAACAAGCCGCUGUUCUUCCGCCAGACCAGCGCUCAGGUGCCCCAGAUGGGGCUGCUAGUGAAGGCGUCCACAGGUCAGAGGCAGGACUUUGUCUUCAGGGAGGGCGGAACCGCCAGCGUGGCUCUGGAUCUCAAGCUUAUUCACUCCUGCAACCUCAUCAAGGUGACUCUUCUCAGGCGAGGUGACGCAGAGGGGUCGGCGGGAGGCCGGGAGGCAGAGGGCUCGCGACCCGUCACUCUGGCCCAGCAGGUUGGUGGUCAGAUGCCCGAGGGAAGCAACUGGGCCACUGUUGGCCUGCGAGCGUCUUUCCAGGUCCGUAACGGCACAGCGGCGUUCUUCACACUGGAUUGCGUGCGUGGACGAAUCAACCAGAUCAGCUACCAAUCAGGAAGCGGAGUGUCAAUCCUCUGGGUUGCAGUAUAG